rnacentral:lncRNA from 1 species
AGCAGGCUGCCCGAGCUAGCAGCAGCAACCCGGUCAGGUCCCCUUUUGUGCUGUGGAAGCUUUGUUCUUUCUCUGUUUGCAAUAAAUCUUACUGCUGCUCACUCUUUGGGUCUACGCCGCCUUUAUGAGCUAUAACACUCACCGUGAAGGUCUGCAUCUUCACUCCUGAAGCCAGUGAGACUACGAACAAACGCAUUGGGAGGGACGAACAAACGCAUUGGGAGGGACCAACAACUCCGGACAUGAGGAACAAACAACUCCAGAUGCGCUGUCUUUAAGAGCUGUAACACUCACAGCAAAGGUCUGCGCCUCACUUCUUAAGUCAGUGAGACCACAAACCCACCAGAAGGAAGAAACUCCGGACGCAUCUGAACAUCUGAAAGCACAAACUCUGGACACACCAUCUUUAAGAACUGUAACACUCACCGCGAGGGUCCGCAGCUUCAUUCUGGAAGUCAGCAAGACCAAGAACCCAUUAUUCCGGACACAAAGGGGCAGCUGCUGUAGCUGUGUCACCUGACAAGCAACCAGCGCCCCCGCUGCACAAAGCAGCAGCAGCAGCAGUUUCAGCACAGCCCAGAAACGAGUGUGCUUCCGGGGGAGUGGCUUGCAGGGGCAGGAUUCGGACUUAGAUUUGGGGGCCUAAUUUGUUUCCUUGGCCGGGAUCCAGAGGUUAUUCUUCAGGUCCAGCCACUUCAGGUUCUUCAGCUGAGCAAAGCUGACGACAAGGUGACCAGCCUGUUGUUGAGGAGAGCCAGGUGCUGGAGGUUGACCAAACGGCCCAAGUCUGCUGGUGGGUGCUGCGGCUUGUUCUUUCUAAGGUCUAGCUUCGCCAGGUGUGUGAGGCCACAGAAAUCCGACGGGAGAAUAGUCAUUAUUUAUUUUUUUGAGAUGGAGUUUCACUCUUGUUGCCCAGGCUGGAGUGCAAUGCGCAAUCUCGGCUCACUGCAACCUCGG